GAUGAAGAACGUAGCGAAAUGCGAUAAGUAAUGUGAAUUGCAGAAUUCAGUGAAUCAUCGAAUCUUUGAACGCAUCUUGCGCUCCUUGGUAUUCUGAGGAGCAUGCCUGUUUGAGUGUCAUUAAAUUCUCAACUACACUGACUUUGAAUUGGUGUGGCUUGGAUUUGGGGGGAAAAUUGUUGUGGGCUUUUUGUAUAGUCUGCUCCCCUGAAAUUGAUUAGCGGUACCUUUGUGGAACUGUCUACAGGUGUGAUAAUUAUCUACAUCUUAGACAUCUGCUGGAAUGCUGCUCUCUAAACCUUACUUGUAUUGACAAUCUUGACCUCAAAUCAGGUAGGACUACUCGCUGAACUUAAGCAUAUCAAUAAGCGGAGGA
rnacentral:misc_RNA from 1 species